ensembl:lncRNA
GAGAGAGAGACAGUCCUGACAACAGAGAGAGAGAGAGAGAGAGAGAGAGAGAGACAGUCCUGACAACAGAGAGAGAGAGAGAGAGAGAGAGAGAGAGAGAGAGAGAGACAGUCCUGACAACGGAGAGAGAGAGAGAGAGAGAGAGAGUCCUGACAACAGAGAGAGAGAGAGAGAGAGAGAGAGAGAGACAGUCCUGACAACAGAGAGAGAGAGAGAGAGAGAGAGAGAGACAGUCCUGACAACAGAGAGAGAGAGAGAGAGAGAGAGAGAGACAGUCCUGACAACGGAGAGAGAGAGAGAGUCCUGACAACAGAGAGAGAGAGAGAGACAGUCCUGACAACGGAGAGAGAGAGAGAGAGAGAGUCCUGACAACGGAGAGAGAGAGAGAGAGUCCUGACAACGGAGAGAGAGAGAGAGUGUCCUGACAACGGAGAGAGAGAGAGAGAGUCCUGACAACGGAGAGAGAGAGAGAGAGUCCUGACAACGGAGCGAGAGAGAGAGAGAGAGUCCUGACAACGGAGCGAGAGAGAGAGUCCUGACAACGGAGCGAGAGAGAGAGAGAGAGACAGUCCUGACAACGGAGCGAGAGAGAGAGAGAGAGAGAGUCCUGACAACGGAGGAGCGAGAGAGAGAGAGAGAGAGACAGUCCUGACAACGGAGCGAGAGAGAGAGAGAGAGAGACAGUCCUGACAACGGAGAGAGAGAGAGAGAGAGUCCUGACAACGGAGAGAGAGAGAGACAAGACAACGGAGAGAGAGAGAGAGAGAGUGUCCUGACAACGGAGAGAGAGAGAGAGUCCUGACAACGGAGCGAGAGAGAGAGAGAGAGUCCUGACAACGGAGCGAGAGAGAGAGAGAGAGAGUCCUGACAACGGAGCGAGAGAGAGAGUCCUGACAACGGAGCGAGAGAGAGAGAGAGAGUCCUGACAACGGAGAGAGAGAGAGAGACAGUCCUGACAACGGAGCGAGAGAGAGAGAGAGAGAGAGACAGUCCUGACAACGGAGCGAGAGAGAGAGAGAGAGAGAGACAGUCCUGACAACGGAGAGAGAGAGAGACAGUCCUGACAACAGAGAGAGAGAGAGACAGUCCUGACAACGGAGAGAGAGAGAGAGACAGUCCUGACAA